AAUGAACGCUAGCGGGAGGCCUAACACAUGCAAGCCGAGCGGUAUUGUUUCUUCGGAAAUGAGAGAGCGGCGUACGGGUGCGGAACACGUGUGCAACCUGCCUUUAUCUGGGGGAUAGCCUUUCGAAAGGAAGAUUAAUACUCCAUAAUAUAUUGAACGGCAUCGUUUGAUAUUGAAAGCUCCGGCGGAUAGAGAUGGGCACGCGCAAGAUUAGCUAGUUGGUGAGGUAACGGCUCACCAAGGCGAUGAUCUUUAGGGGGCCUGAGAGGGUGAUCCCCCACACUGGUACUGAGACACGGACCAGACUCCUACGGGAGGCAGCAGUGAGGAAUAUUGGUCAAUGGGUGCAAGCCUGAACCAGCCAUCCCGCGUGAAGGACGACUGCCCUAUGGGUUGUAAACUUCUUUUGUAUAGGGAUAAACCUACCCUCGUGAGGGUAGCUGAAGGUACUAUACGAAUAAGCACCGGCUAACUCCGUGCCAGCCGCCGCCGUAACAC
rnacentral:rRNA from 1 species